rnacentral:rRNA from 1 species
GUAGGGAAUCUUGCGCAAUGGGCGAAAGCCUGACGCAGCCAUGCCGCGUGAAUGAUGAAGGUCUUAGGAUUGUAAAAUUCUUUCACCGGGGACGAUAAUGACGGUACCCGGAGAAGAAGCCCCGGCUAACUUCGUGCCAGCAGCCGCGGUAAUACGAAGGGGGCUAGCGUUGCUCGGAAUUACUGGGCGUAAAGGGAGCGUAGGCGGAUAGUUUAGUCAGGGGUGAAAUCCCAGAGCUCAACUCUGGAACUGCCCUUGAUACUGGCGAUCUUGAGUGUGAGAGAGGUAUGUGGAACUCCGAGUGUAGAGGUGAAAUUCGUAGAUAUUCGGAAGAACACCAGUGGCGAAGGCGACAUACUGGCUCAUUACUGACGCUGAGGCGCGAAAGCGUGGGGAGCAAACAGGAUUAGAUACCCGAGUAGUCC